AUACGAAGGGUGCAAGCGUUACUCGGAAUUACUGGGCGUAAAGCGUGCGUAGGUGGUUGUUUAAGUCUGUCGUGAAAGCCCUGGGCUCAACCUGGGAAUGGCGAUGGAAACCGGGCGACUAGAGUGUGGCAGAGGGUAGUGGAAUUCCUGGUGUAGCAGUGAAAUGCGUAGAGAUCAGGAGGAACAUCCGUGGCGAAGGCGACUGCCUGGGCCAACACUGACACUGAGGCACGAAAGCGUGGGGAGCAAACAGGAUUAGAUACCCUGGUAGUCCACGCCCUAAACGAUGCGAACUGGAUGUUGGGUGCAAUUUGGCACGCAGUAUCGAAGCUAACGCGUUAAGUUCGCCGCCUGGGGAGUACGGUCGCAAGACUGAAACUCAAAUGAAUUGACGGGG
rnacentral:rRNA from 1 species